rnacentral:misc_RNA from 1 species
GUUUUGAUUUUCUUUUGGCCAAAAAUUGCAUGAGACAAUCGAAAUUGGGAAAAUUUUUCCCAAUUUGUUUUUUGCAAUGAUCAUAUUGAAAACCUUUAUAAUUACAUACUUUUAUUUGUAUUAUGAUAGCCUAUAAUAACACAUUCUCAUAACUUGCAAAGACAAUAAUUGUUUAACAAAAAAUGCAGGAAUAUAAAAUGGUGAUUUUUUGUCAAAUUUCCUAGAUAUAAUAAGUUCAAACUUUAAUGGUUUUAAAUGCUGUACAGUAAAUACCGGUUUACAAAGCAUUGAUUAGUAUUAAUAUGCAAUUAAAUAGAAAGAACAUUAAAUAUGGAUGUCAUGUUGUUUACCAGUAUGCAAUCUUACUUGUAAAUGUUUGUUUUUUGUCAUUACAUUGUAUGAAUAAUUAUGAAAGGAACUCAUUUCACCAUUAGGGAUGAAAUUGUAUUUAUGUCAAACUGCAUUGGAUGUAAAUUUACAAGCUUAAAGGAAAGUGUAAACUAUCUGUUUAAACAUGUAACUUUAAUUACAUACAUACUAGUACAGUGUUCACACAUGUAUUGAGUACUUGUAAUAUGUACUAGUAUAACUAUUGUUAUUUUCAUUCAUAAAUGUGCCAAAAGAAUAUUAUUUAAAAGUGUUUUGUGUAUACCCAUGUGUAGAUUGAAACUUUGAAAUUAUAUAACUGAAGGAUGUGAACAUGUAUGUUGGUUGUAUCUGUCUCUCUCAUCAAUAAAGGUUAUAUUUUUACUU